rnacentral:rRNA from 1 species
GUUGGUGUUGAUUACGGUGAGGGUCCACCCGUUCCCAUCCCGAACACGGAAGUUAAGCUCACUGGUGCCGACGAUACUUGGCUGGAAGUGGCCUGGGACAAUAGGGAGACGCCAACA